GUGCCAGCAGCCGCGGUAAUACGGAGGGUGCAAGCGUUGUCCGGAUUUAUUGGGUUUAAAGGGUGCGUAGGCGGGCCUUUAAGUCAGUGGUGAAAGCCUGCAGCUUAACUGUAGAACUGCCAUUGAUACUGGAGGCCUUGAGUGUACUAGAGGUAGGCGGAAUUUAUGGUGUAGCGGUGAAAUGCAUAGAUACCAUAAAGAACACCGAUAGCGUAGGCAGCUUACUGGAGUACAACUGACGCUGAGGCACGAAAGCAUGGGGAGCGAACAGGAUUAGAUACCCUGGUAGUCCAUGCCGUAAACGAUGAUUUACUCGAUGUUGGCGAUACACUGUCAGCGUCCAAGCGAAAGCGUUAAGUAAUCCACCUGGGGAGUACGCUCGCAAGAGUGAAACUCAAAGGAAUUGACGG
rnacentral:rRNA from 1 species